GCUUGGGCUAAAACACCGCUGAUUGAUAUGAAAUCAAUAUACAAAUCAGCCGACUGGGAAGCCUGUGU
rnacentral:pre_miRNA from 1 species